UACGUAGGGUGCAAGCGUUUGUCCGGAAUUAUUGGGCGUAAAGAGCUCGUAGGCGGUUUGUCGCGUCUGCUGUGAAAAAUCCGGGGCUCAACCCCGGACUUGCAGUGGGUACGGGCAGACUGGAGUGUGGUAGGGGAGACUGGAAUUCCUGGUGUAGCGGUGGAAUGCGCAGAGUAUCAGGAGGAACACCGAUGGCGAAGGCAGGUCUCUGGGCCACUACUGACGCUGAGAAGCGAAGCAUGGGGAGCGAACAGG
rnacentral:rRNA from 1 species